rnacentral:rRNA from 1 species
AUUGAACGCUGGCGGCAUGCCUAACACAUGCAAGUCGAGCGGAUGAAGGGAGCUUGCUCCUGGAUUCAGCGGCGGACGGGUGAGUAAUGCCUAGGAAUCUGCCUGGUCGUGGGGGAUAACGUCCGGAAACGGGCGCUAAUACCGCAUACGUCCUGAGGGAGAAAGUGGGGGAUCUUCGGACCUCACGCUAUCUGAUGAGCCUAGGUCGGAUUAGCUAGUUGGUGGGGUAAAGGCCUACCAAGGCGACGAUCCGUAACUGGUCUGAGAGGAUGAUCAGUCACACUGGAACUGAGACACGGUCCAGACUCCUACGGGAGGCAGCAGUGGGGAAUAUUGGACAAUGGGCGAAAGCCUGAUCCAGCCAUGCCGCGUGUGUGAAGAAGGUCUUCGGAUUGUAAAGCACUUUAAGUUGGGAGGAAGGGCAGUAAGUUAAUACCUUGCUGUUUUGACGUUACCAACAGAAUAAGCACCGGCUAACUUCGUG